CCUACGGGAGGCAGCAGUGGGGAAUAUUGGACAAUGGGGGCAACCCUGAUCCAGCCAUGCCGCGUGUGUGAAGAAGGCCCUCGGGUUGUAAAGCACUUUCAGUGAGGAAGAACGCCUGGUGGUUAAUACCCAUCAGGAAAGACAUCACUCACAGAAGAAGCACCGGCUAACUCAGUGCCAGCAGUCGCGGUAAUACGGAGGGUGCGAGCGUUAAUCGGAAUUACUGGGCGUAAAGCGCGCGUAGGUGGCUUGAUAAGCCGGUUGUGAAAGCCCCGGGCUCAACCUGGGAACGGCAUCCGGAACUGUCAAGCUAGAGUGCAGGAGAGGAAGGUAGAAUUCCCGGUGUAGCGGUGAAAUGCGUAGAGAUCGGGAGGAAUACCAGUGGCGAAGGCGGCCUUCUGGACUGACACUGACACUGAGGUGCGAAAGCGUGGGUAGCAAACAGGAUUAGAUACCCUUGUAGUC
rnacentral:rRNA from 1 species